rnacentral:rRNA from 1 species
AUUGAACGCUGGCGGCAGGCCUAACACAUGCAAGUCGAACGGUAACAGGAAACAGCUUGCUGUUUCGCUGACGAGUGGCGGACGGGUGAGUAAUGUCUGGGAAACUGCCUGAUGGAGGGGGAUAACUACUGGAAACGGUAGCUAAUACCGCAUAACGUCGCAAGACCAAAGAGGGGGACCUUCGGGCCUGUUGCCAUCGGAUGUGCCCAGAUGGGAUUAGCUAGUAGGUGGGGUAACGGCUCAACUAGGCGACGAUCCCUAGCUGGCCUGAGAGGAUGACCAGCCACACUGGAACUGAGACACGGUCCAGACUCCUACGGGAGGCAGCAGUGGGGAAUAUUGCACAAUGGGCGCAAGCCUGAUGCAGCCAUGUCGCGUGUAUGAAGAAGGCCUUCGGGUUGUAAAGUACUUUCAGCGGGGAGGAAGGGAGUAAAGUUAAUACCUUUGCUCAUUGACGUUACCCGCAGAAGAAGCACCGGCUAACUCCGUGCCAGCCGCCGCCGUAA